ensembl:lncRNA
CCUCAGUGUGGGCCCCUGCCUCCGGUGGUCCCGCACCCGGUGCUUCACCAUCGCAUGACAUGCUAGCGAGGCGCGGAUGCCCCCGGAGGUGGCCUUAAAGGAGGUUGCUGGCCCCAGGGGAAAGAACCACUAAGUGAAGCACAAGCCAAACCAAACCCUGCAGGUCAGGCCAUUUCUGUGCAAACUCAGUGAGUUCAUAAACACGGAGACCUAUUCACAUGGAAAACCCUGAAGGCAAAAGAACUGAGUGUGUGUGGAGUGCCUGCCCUCUGGUCUCUGUCUGGUCUUGGUCGGAGCCUCUGGAUUAGAGAAGAACGUGCUGGUUGAGAGAAGCAGGAUCUUGAAGAAGAAAAGUACUGCCCCAGACUGAUGUGUGGUUUGACACAAGUCGGGGCCACCCCAGGCUGGGGGGCUCCGGGGGUCCCAGGAGGUGGGCAGGGAGUCAACGGAGAAGGAAGCCCAGCAUCACCAGACCCAGUGCUUCUGUGGGUGCCGGUCCUUUCACCUCCUGCCAAGCCCAGAUCGGGGUUGGGGGGAAGCCUCUAGUGCACACUCUCCUUGCUAGGGCUUCAAACAUCAACCGUUCACUAUGUCCUCCACACCCAAGGGCUGGCUGGGGGUCACCCCGUUGAACCUCAAGUCAAAGAUACAGGGCAGCUGAGCAACUGGAGCCAGCGAUGCAAGUCAGCACCAACUGAAACCCUGUUUUGCCAGAGCCUUCCUGCACCAUCCUUGCAUUCGACCCUCUGCAGAGACUUGGUGUAAUCAGAUUCUAUAGAAAGAAAACAAACAGAAGAAUGGCUAGUAUGUGAAGGAACAUGAAUCCAUUCGUUUGAUAAUAGAUAUUAUUAUGUUCAUGGCGAGCAAACUUAAAUAUGCCCAAGUUAAUGUAUAUUCAUUUCAAGCAAAUGUUAAUUAAACAAACUACUGUGUAAUUUUGGGGUUGUUAAAUGGUUGUCUACCAAGCUGAGACAGACUUGAAGUCCAGAAGUGACAGAACUUUGUAUUAUUUACCUUAUGUGUUCAGGGAAUACGUCCCCCAUCUGACUUGUGUGUUUCAUUGUUGAUAGAAGUAUCUGUCUAGCUAACUGAAUAAUUUCUUACUAAUAUUGAGCAUUCAUUUGUAAUUCCAAUAAAAGUCAGAAAACCUGAC